rnacentral:misc_RNA from 1 species
UCUCGGCUUAUCACCGGCAGUCCCCUUAGAGUGCCCAACCAAAUGAUGGCAACUAAGGGCGAGGGUUGCGCUCGUUGCGGGACUUAACCCAACAUCUCACGACACGAGCUGACGACAGCCAUGCACCACCUGUGAUCCUGCCCCGAAGGGAGGCCCUGUUUCCAGAGCGGUCAGGAACAUGUCAAGCCCAGGUAAGGUUCUUCGCGUUGCGUCGAAUUAAACCACAUGCUCCACCGCUUGUGCAGGCCCCCGUCAAUUCCUUUGAGUCUCAACCUUGCGGUCGUACUCCCCAGGCGGAGUGCUUAUUGCGUUAGCUGCGAUACAGAGAACUUAUAGUUCCCUACAUCUAGCACUCAUCGUUUACGGCGUGGACUAC